AACGCACCUUGCGCUCCUUGGUAUUCCUCGGAGCAUGCCUGUUUGAGUAUCAUGAAAUCCUCAAAAUAAAUCUUUUGUUCAUUCGAUUGAUUUUAUUUUGGACUUGGAGGUCUGCAGAUUCACGUCUGCUCCUCUUAAAUUCAUUAGCUGGAUCUGUAUGAACUCGGUUCCACUCGGCGUGAUAAGUAUCACUCGCUGAGGACACUGUAAAAGGUGGCCGGGAUUAUUAUGAACCGCUUCUAAUAGUCCAUUGACUUGGACAAACUACUUAUGAUCUGAUCUCAAAUCAGGUAGGACUACCCGCUGAACUUAA
rnacentral:misc_RNA from 1 species